ACUGCCUCACAUUUAGCAAAACUGGCUGGAUUGUUGUAUCUCAAAAUCUGGAUUCCUCUCCUGUAAUGUGUUGGAGUUUAACAUGUUUUAAGACUGUAUUUAUGUAACUGUAACCCCCCAUGAGUCCUCAUAUGGCCCAAGACAGGUUCUUGAUUUCUAGUCCAAAGUCCAGGCUGAGGAUGACGGAUGGCCGAGCUGUAGUCGUCAGCGCUUCAAGACUUGGGACUGAGGACUUCUGAGGGACGUUGUCUACCAGAACGGAGAAGCUGUAGUACUGCAGAACUUCCACCAAGGCCAGUUUAACCAUCGCCUGAGCAAAUCGCAUCCCCAAACAGUUCCUCGGCCCAACCCCAAAUGGCAGGACUAAACAAAUGAUUAAAGCUUGAAGGAUCUCAUGGACAAAACUAGGACAAAGUACUAACAUUAUUAAAGCAUGCC